rnacentral:lncRNA from 1 species
CACUUCUUAUCGAACAGAUAAAUUUUAAUAAAACCAACAUGACAUAUACAACACACCUUGAAGUCCAAUCAAAAUUUCAACAAUUAUCUUACAAGUUAGAAUAGAUUUAUUAUUCACUCUGCUUUAAUCAAUAAUACUCUAUCUAACUCUCUAAAUUAUUAAUUGGUAGAUCGGUUAAUUUGUGGAAAGUUUGAAGUUUCAAUUCACUAUUUAUUAGUAAAACAUUGAAAGUUUGAAAAACAUUGAAGUUUCAACUUGAGAGGGUUCGCUACGGCUGAUGCACUAUACUAUAGAGGAUCCACAUCCAUUUUAAUAACAUUCUCAAUUUCAUGAUGAGACAUAAAUAUUCAACACCCACUUGAACGUAAUACUAGUCUUUUUAAAUUACAUGUCUCGAGUUAGAAUUCUAAAGAAAUAGUAGCAUUAAAAUUCUUGAAAGAGUUUUUCUGUCCGAAUGGUCUUACUUGACUUAUGGAUAUUACAACCCGAUAUUAACAAUGAACUGCCUCUAUAAUUUGCAAAUAGAUUUGAACCGAAAGAAAAGUGAACACUGCAAUAUGCUUAUUGGUCGGUAAGAGUUGGAGUACCCUCAUUAAUAUUAUUUGCUUAUAAUAAAAAAUUACUAUUUUCAACAUUUAUCAUCACACUUCUUCUUAAGAUACUUGCGCCAUAUUGCGAAUGCCAACAUAACGCCUAGGACCCCAACCGCGACUCCAACAACGAUGCCAAAUGUUUUUGUUGAUGAUGAAGAAGAUGAAUCAUCAUAUGAUAACGCAUUUGACGAUGAAGGUGGAGGCCAUGUUGGCACAGGUGGACUCCAUGACCAUGGAGGCGUAGGUGUAUCAAUUGAUGGUGGUGGAAAAUAAUUUGUUGACAUUACUCUUGUGAGCAGUUUCUUUAGCUGGAAGUGUUUAAAUCUUUGAUAUAUAUUGAUCACGGAGGAAAUAAUUUUAUAGGCAAAUGAUAAUGUGAGCUACGACAUUUU